rnacentral:rRNA from 1 species
GAUAAACGCUGGCGGCGUGCAUAACACAUGCAAGUCGAACGAUGAAGCUUAACUGAUUUCUUCGGAAUGAUUUUAAGUGGAUUAGUGGCGGACGGGUGAGUAACGCGUGAGUAACCUGCCUUGCACAAGGGGAUAGCCGUUGGAAACGACGAAUAAUACCCUAUGAUAUAAACUCUUCGCAUGAAGAGCUUAUCAAAGAUUUAUCGGUGUAAGAUGGACUCGCGUCUGAUUAGCUAGUUGGUGGGAUAAAAGCCUACCAAGGCAACGAUCAGUAGCC